UCAGACUCGCAACAAUACAAUGUGGAGGAAUGCACACCUGUUACUUCACCUCAGAUGGCCCCCUUGACCUAAUGUUCUUUUAUUUAUCUACAAGACUAGUUAGUACUUUACUAUUUUAACUAGAAUUGCCUUCUUAGCGAGCUAGCUAGCUACAUAGCUAGUGCGCAUGACAGACGGUCCCAAAACAGUCGAGAGGACCCCCGUCCUCAGAGCCUCUACGGGGGAGUGUGCGGCCAGGUGGACGCUGAACUAAUAAGCCGGUGCGAAGUGUGCGCUUGUUCUCGCUGGGUGGCUGACUGAAAUGUCAGCGCCGAAGGAACAGAUAGUAAGGAGGCUGGAUCAUCAUCGAUGGUCAGACGCCCUCCUGUGGUCAGUUGAUGCAGCUGUUGCUGGUUGGAGGUUGUCAAUCUUGAGAGAAUGCACACUAGAGGACAUGAAGAAGGAGUCUAAAAUGUUGAAAGUAAUUUAUUAGGUCAACGUUGCAAAUGAUAAAGCUGUUAUGUGGAUGUAUUACCUGCAGUCGCCAACAGAGGGCGGUAGAGACAGCUUCUUCUGACCAAGGUCAACUUGUGAUGUCUGUCAUUGUUUGUCAGCCAUUCAGCAUUUCCAAUAAAUACUGUUUUGGGCGAAUAUGUAAAACCCAACAUUUAUAUAAUCAGCUUGACUUUGUUUUUCAACGACUCUAAGGCAGCGUCUGAUCAUAUGGACGAGCAGAUAUUCUUUAUUCGGGCUGUGCAAGCCCUAAUUUAAUGCCACAGUUGUUAUUUGUUUGCCUCCACCGUG